GGGAGGACUCAUUCAAGAUCACUAUGACCCAGGCCCCAGCCCAGCUCGUAGAAGUGAAAACAGUGCACAGGGUUCCAGACUCCAGGAGCAAGACCUCAGCAUCUCUCUAGCUCCCAGCACAGUGCAUGGCACAGCCUACUCAUGAGUAUCUGCUGAAUGAAGAUAAGUGAUCUGGUGAAGUGAAUGGGGCAUUGAUUUACAUUCACACCUGGGCACGGUGAGAUUUGACUCCGUUGAUCAACACAUACAAGUUAAUUAAAGUAAAAGUUAGCAGAGAGAACAGCUGUAGUUCUACAUGGAAUAUACCUGGCAACUUGAGGCAUCCAGAUGCCAACUCCUGCUUUAAAAAGAAAAAAAUAAAAGGAAGAAGAAGAAAGCACUCCUCCUCAAGAUAAUGUUUCCUUCAAGGCAACUAGUUUUUGGAGUGGAGAUUA